CUCGGCCCCAUCACCCCAUGUCAUUUUCUCCCAAAACAGAAAUUCUUUUCUCUUCAUAUCUGUAACUGAAAUAAGCCCAUGUUUCAUUUUUGUAUAAAAGCUUUUGAUUAGUAAAAAGUUUCAAAUUCGUUCAGAAGUUUUCUAAACUUUUACUGAAAAGUUUGAAUUUCACUUAAAGUUUCAGCCUUCUUGUUAAAAAGCUUGAAUUUUUAGUAAAAAGUUUCAAUUUUUACUAAAAAGUUUGUAUCUUGGUAAAAAGUUUUGGAAAUUUGUUAAAAAGUUUCAAUUUGUGAUUAAAAAGGUUCAAUCUUUAUCUUUUUUUCUUUGUGUGUGUUUGUGUGUGAAAAUGGAUGAUGGUUUUGAUGGGGUAUCAUCAAAUGGGUCAACAACUGGUGGUGGGUCAAUCUUGACUAGUAAGAAUAACAAUAAAGAUAUGUGUAUGUUGUCUGAAGUUUCUUCACCAUUUCCAUUAGUUGAUGAUAAUGAUGAUGAUGGAAAUCUUGAAUUAGGCCUUGGAUUGAGUAUAGGUGGUGGUGGUAAUGGUUUGAAGUCAAAUGUAUCUGGUUGUGUUGGUCAAUAUGCUAGAAUUUUGACUGCUAAAGAUUUUACCUCUACUAGUGUGGUUGGGUGGCCUCCGAUAAGAAGAGGUCACAGGCUAGCUAAACAAACCAAGUCACCAGACGAAGAAACUAGCUCAACACCCGAACCAAACAAAACUAUCAAAAACGACCUUUAUUCUGAGAGGAAAAAAGGGGUUUUGAACAAAGGUUAUCUAGCAGUGAAGGUGAAUAUGGAUGGAAGGUUAAUCGGAAGGAAAGUUGAUCUCAACGCUCAUAGUUCGUAUGCAACAUUAGCACAAACGUUGGAAGAUAUGUUUUGUCAAGAACGGACACACACAGAAACAGCAACCCCGUCAAAACUGUUGGAUGCAACAUCUGAGUUCGUGCUCACUUAUCAAGAUAAAGACGGAGACUGUAUGCUUGUUGGUGACGUUCCUUGGCAGAUGUUUCUAAGCACUGUGAAGCGGCUUAGGAUCAUGAGAAAUUCCGAAUCUAUAAAGCUUGGUAGUCAUAAACAUAUGGUUGCAACAUCAAUAUGUCUAGAAAAGAAUACAAGACGAAGAAGGAAUGACAUUUGAUAUUAUGUGUACUUCAUUCUACCUUCUGAUUGGAUGAGAACUCAAAAGUUCUUUCUAAUGGGUCAUUGAUCCUUUUGGGUUUUCGGGUAUCCUUUCUAAAUCAACAGUCUGUUACAAACUCAAGAGGACUAUUCUCAUGGUUCAAACCUGUUUACAAAAGGUCAGUUACAGGCGAGGUGCUAAAAACAGGUUUAUCUUUAUCAUUAGUUGCGGGAUUUAAUCCGCCAUUGUUGGUGUUACUGCUACUUUUUCUUCUCGGUCUUGCCUCCUCAAGCAUGCUUAUAACAUCUCUCAUGGAGGGCCUAUCUUUCGGAAGCUUAGCCGUACAAAUUAAGGCUAUUCUGAGGACUAACAACAUCUCUUCUUCUACAUGUUUGCAGUUUCCUACAUUCUGAUCUACUACUUCUGUUAACGGUUUGUUUUCUCUGAUUUUUCGACGAACCCAUUCGACAAUGUCUACUGAAUCUCCAAACUCAGGUUCGAUUGGAUGUUUUCCAGUAACGAGUUCCAUCAGAACCACUCCGUAGCUGUAUAUAUCACUCUUCUCAUCAACCUUUAAUGUGUAUCCGUAUUCUGUAAUCAAGAUAAAUAAUGAGUUGUGUGUUUAAUAA